AUUGAACGCUGGCGGCAGGCCUAACACAUGCAAGUCGAGCGGAUGAAGGGAGCUUUCUCCUGGAUUCAGCGGCGGACGGGUGAGUAAUGCCUAGGAAUCUGCCUGGUAGUGGUGGAUAACGUCCGGAAACGGGCGCUAAUACCGCAUACGUCCUGAGGGAGAAAGUGGGGGAUCUUGGGAACUUACGCUAGCAGAUGAGCCUAGCUCGGAUUAUCUAGUUGGUGGGGUAAAGGCCUACCAAGGCGACGAUCCGUAACUGGUCUGAGGGGAUGAUCAGUCACAGUGAAGCUGAGACGCGGUACAGAGUCCUAGGGGAGGCAGAAGUGGGGAAUGUUGGAAGAAGGGCGAAAGACUGCACAAGGCAUGCAACGUGUGUGAAGAAGGUCUUCGGAUUGUAAAGCAGUUUAAGUUGGGAGGAAGGGCAGUGAGUUAAUACCUUGCUGUUUGGACGUUACCAACAGAAUAAGAACCGGCAAAUACCGU
rnacentral:rRNA from 1 species